CUUAUUUAUUGUUUCUGAUAUCAAGACUAUCUACUACAGCUAAAUCAUUGACCCCCUUUACACCUUGCAUUAAAAUAUGUUUUGGGAUUUGAGAUUGGAUUGCAAUCAGAUACAUCUUGACCACAUUAAGUACAGAUGUAAAUGCACCCAAGACGCAUUGAGGACAGAUUGUGAUCCAAUUAGCCAAACCAUCUCCGGAGGUGCUCAUGACCACACUGAACACAAGUGUAAAUGCAACUGCGUUGGCAAUCCACAUACAACAACUAUGUGGGUGGAAAUACAUAAUGGCACGUGACCAGCAAGGUAGCAGCCAUUAGCCAGUUAGCGAGCUACUAACAAGAAAGCAGCAAGAAAGCUAUGGAUAUUUAAGAUAUUUGUAGAUGGAGUGUCGGCUUCUUCCCCCUCUUCAAAAAGCAAGCAAAAAUCCAUACAAUAGUGCAGCUUCAAGGAUGGCUACCAUCUUUUUUUUGUUUGUUUAUUUAUUUUUUGGGGGGGGGUUUUGGACCCGUGCAAACAAGAGGAGGAUGUGAUGUUCAGUCAUUUGAGCUGGACAGAGUGAUCAGAUCUAAAUCAGAUCUCAAUAAGUGGACACUGGAGACACAUAUUAAUACCAGGUAUUAAUGUAAUCAGGUUAAAUCAUAUCUACACACAAUCUGGAUACAAGAUGCAUUUUAAUGCAAGGUGUAAAGGGACUAUUAGCUCAAUUGUGGCAGUCAUUGAUCAAGUACAAUAAGAAUCUGUUGCGUCACAGACCGUGUCAUUAUGGCAUCCUGGAUUUUAUUGUAGCCCUGCCCGACCUUUGUUGCUCAUCAUCACUGUCUCGCUCCACUGCAUGCUGCUAAACAAACUCAAACUUUUUCAUCUGGAUCAGCAUCACUGACCAUUUUGGACUUGAGAGCUGAGACCCAGAGAGGCUGGCUUGUUCAGAGGUGGGCCAGCCUGUUGGCGGGCGAUUCUAUUGCUCCUGUCCUGUGCCAAGUGCCCAUCAGCUGUGAGAGGAUCCACGUGACCCAGCAAGCGCUCACUACGUAACCAAGCGACCCAGAUAACGCUCCAGUCUAGUUUGUGGGCCAAGCAGCAGGAGAGCAGCUUUGCCAAUGAACUGAGAAGAGCAAGGUGUUCAAAUUAAGACCCUAAUUAUAAGGACUGAUGAAUCUGUCCUCUGCUUCUGCUGUCCCACCAGAGACUGUCGCAUAGAAACAUGCCACAUCACAACUUUCCAGGGAAGACAUAGCUAGGUUAUUUUAAGACUUGGCAGCUUGCACAGUCCAAGAGUUCCCUGCCACACUCAAUGGCCAUUAAGAAUUUAAGAAAGCAGAAGUAGGCCAUGGACAAUUCAAGCAGAAAGAACAUAAGGCCAAACCACUUCUUCUUCUGUCUGAAGAAAAAAAAGGACAAAAGACCCCGGUCUUCUAGCAAGAGGAGGAGCUGUAGAAACUCAGGAUCAAGCGCACAUUUUAAAGGGUUCACCUCCACCUUUUCCUUCUUCAAGACUAAUAAACCAAACUAAUCAAUCUAUGCAACACGUUUUGCCUGUAAAUGCACUCCCUCGUGUUUAAAUGUGGUUGUGAGGCGCUGUCUUAUAAAACAAUUCCUCAAAGGCCGCAGUGAAUUUCUAGUGACAUCUGCAGAGGGCAUGUGUUGGCUUCCGGCUUGUGCCUGCUCAGACGAGAGGGGUUUGUGACAGAGUCGCUUUGAGGAAAGACAGUGAUAGAAAAGA